rnacentral:tRNA from 1 species
UCUAAUAUGGCAGAAUAGUGCGAUGGACUUAAACCCCAUUUAUAAAGCNUAUCUUUUUUUAGAA